rnacentral:rRNA from 1 species
AACCCAAAGGACUUGACGGUGUUCCACCCAACUAGAGGAGCCUGUUCUAUAAUCGACAAUCCACGAUCUACCUAACCAUUUUUUGCUACUCAGCCUGUAUACCUCCGUCGUAAGCUUAUCAUUUGAAUGAGAAAAAGUAAGCACAAGGACUAAAAGCCAAAACGUCAGGUCAAGGUGCAGCUUAUAAAAUGGAAGAAAUGAGCUACAAUUUCUAAUUUAGAACACACGAAUUACUGCAUGAAACAAAGUCAUGAAGGUGGAUUUAGCAGUAAGUAGGGAAUAGAGAGCCCUACUUAAUUUGGCCCUGGAACGUGUACAAACCGCCCGUCACCCUCUUCGAUAG